rnacentral:rRNA from 1 species
AGUGAACGCUGGCGGUAGGCCUAACACAUGCAAGUCGGACGGCAGCACAGUAAGAGCUUGCUCUUACGGGUGGCGAGUGGCGGACGGGUGCGGAAUACAUCGGAAUCUACUUUUUCGUGGGGGAUAACGUAGGGAAACUUACGCUAAUACCGCAUACGACCUACGGGUGAAAGCAGGGGAUUUUCGGACCUUGCGCGAUUGAAUGAGCCGAUGUCGGAUUAGCUAGUUGGCGGGGUACAGGCCCACCAAGGCGACGAUCCGUAGCUGGUCUGAGAGGAAGAUCCGCCACAUGGGAACAGAGACAGGGCCCAGACUCUGACGGGAAGCCACGGUGGGGAAUAUUGGGGGAAGGAGGAAAGCCUGAUCCAGCGAUACCGCGGAAGGGAAGAAGGAGUUAUGCUUGGAAAAGGCAGAAGUUGGAAAAGAAGAGCAGCAGGUUAAUACCACACGAUGCUGACGGUGCCCAAAGAAUAGGCACCGGCGAACUUGGUG